GGAAAAGUCUCCGAAUUGGACCGAGGUUUUGGCUAGCCCCCCAUUGUAAGACGACCCGAGCGCGGUCCGGAAGUCGGAAUCGGCAAAGGUGAGCCGGGACAGCCUUCUUCCUCCGCCCAGCCGUCACAGUAAUUUGUCGUCAAGUUUGCCGCAGGAGGAUAUUUUAUUCUGGGUUAACCUGCUUUUAUACUUCGCAGGUUGUUUAUCGAUAUUUGUGUAAUUUUAUUUACUCCUAGAAUUUCCACAUGUGUUAGCAGUAAUUAUUUGAAUUUGGUCUGUAAUAUUAUUAUCA